CUCUAACUCUCUUGGUUGAAUCAUUCAGGUGGACACCCAGCUUCGGAGCUCCAAUCGUAGGCUAGAUAACCUUCACGCCCAGCUCCAAGAACUGGACGCUCACAUUGUAGUGAAAGGAGGAGAUGAGAGUAAAGAUGAAUGUCCUCAAUCUCCUGGGGCGGAGAGCAGAACUUCAGCCCACAAGGAGCGCAUUGCUGCCCUGGAGAGGCAGCUCAACAUUGAGCUCAAAGUCAAGCAAGGAGUUGAGAACAUGAUCCCCAUCUACGCCAAUGGCUCCACCAAGG